GUGACAGGGGAUAUGUUCCUGUUGUUGUCCACGCCCGGGUUUGUGGUAGCUUGUUACAGCACAACUCGGAACCUAGCACACCUCUCCUCUUUGUCCCCUCUCCACGCCCAGAGUUGGGCUGGUGCAGGAAAACAUGUCACUAGCCAGUGGCAACACCCCACCUCCUCACAGCUCACCUGGCCAACCCUGAGCACAGUGCCCUCCAAAGCCAUCCUUGCCUGGAAGAUGACCUCCACUCCUACCAUGGUGGCCUGGGGACAGCUCUCAGCCCCACCAUGGUGGCCUGGGGACAGCUCUCACUCCAGGGGGUAUGAAGCAGGACCUGGGAAGAGGGCUGGCCGGGCUCCAGGAACCAGGGAACAUCUGGAGGCAAAGAAGCCAGGUCCAGGACACUUGAAGCAGGACAGGUGGAUGGGAGGCCUCGAGGUCACAACCAGAACCUCCCACCGUGAGCAACGAGCCGCGGAUUCCUGCUCUGAGCAGCAGCAGUUCUAGGUUCAUGGGGUCCCCAACAUGUGACAUGUGGCUUCUUCAUCUUCCCCCUCCAGUGACUCUCCUCCUCCAUGAGAGCCCUGACGCUACCCAGCUUUAUUCCCAACACCCACCCCCCGAAACCUGCUUCUCUCCGGUCACUGGCUCCACUGUCCACCCGACUCCUCAGACCAAACUCCCGGGGGACUGCCGUGAGAGUCCUUUCUUGGUUCAUCCUCUAAAAUGUUCUGAAUUCAACCAAGUCUCUCUCCUCCAGUCACCCCCCACCUCUCACCCGGACAACCACCUGAAAUCCCCACCCCGACUCCGCCCCGACUCCGCCCCCACUCGGCUCUGGCUUGGAUGUGGCUUGGAUGUGGCUUGUCCUGGCCAAACCUGUGUUGAGGUUCAACGGCCCUUGGGCGUUGGGAGGGUGGCCUGCUUGGGUGGCUAACAGGGGCGAAUGCCUUCCUUGUCGGGGUGAAGUUCCCCAGGACCUCACUCUUUUUGGACUGGGGCGGUUACCUUGAGAGCAGGUUGAUACGCAAGACCACUCCUCCUUCUUUCCUCCUUUUACAUGUGCCUGUUUGUGCUCCUACCUUCUGCCAUGAGUUAAAGAAGUAAGAGGCCUUGUCCAGGACCAUGCACUCAGACCUCCCUGCCCUUAGGACUGACCAUUUGCUGAGAGUCUGGAGAGAAACGGAACCUGGCAACUGUCACCAGAGCCGAGCCACGUCCCUGCCCCUCCCAGAGCUGCCUCCAGUUGGCACAGAUGCCCGCUGUGAUGCUGGCAAGCUGUGCCCCCUCCCACCCCAGCAAGUCACUCGACCUCUCUGAGCCCUGGUCACCUCAGGUGAUAAAGCAGAGGCCCCGCCUGGUACUCACAGCGGCUUGCGGGAGCCCAGCGGCUCCAGGCACAAAGGACGCUCCGACACAGGCGGCCUCUCCCGCCGUUAGCCCAGAGCCCAGCUCGGGACGUUUCUAAAAAUAUGUUUUAUUGGAUUUUUCCUUUUGAGCCCCAGAAGCAAUAUCUAUAUCCCUCCAACAAGCAGAUCAGCAGGGAGACGAGCGGAGAAAACGCAGCCCCCUCCCCUCCUGGGACCUCACGGGCUCCCUGGCCCUUCCCUGUCCCCAGCUCCCCCCCCCCAGGAGGUGGCAGUGCCAGGCUUCCCUCCACGCACUCUCUCUGCAGCCAUCCCUCUGCGAGCGCGUGGCUCACAUUGUACAGAAACCGGCUAAUUCCACGUGCAGCCUCCCGGGGGCUACAGCACAGAGAGGUCCACAUUGCCCCUUGGCCAUGAACCUCAACGCACCCCCAGCUGACGGUCGGUGGGCUGUUCCCAGCCCUUCUCUAACCAGCAGCGCCGCCCUGACCCGUCUGCCCCGUCCUCCAGGAGAGUCCCACAGCGUGGUUCUGGGUCAGAGGGACAGUUCCACUUUGUAUUUUUAAUAACCAUGUGCUGCCAGGUGA